rnacentral:misc_RNA from 1 species
AGUGAUCUGCUGCAAAUCACCAGCAGCACCAGUGGUCACUUCAGGUUCACCAAAGAUCACUUCUUCUGCAGCUCUUCCACCAAGUCCACCAACAAUUCUAGCAAAGAGUUGUUGCUUGGAUAUUAAGGUUGGGUCAUCUGCAGGAAUGAACCAGGUCAAACCUUUUGCCUGACCACGUGGGAUUAGAGUGACCUUUUGUACAGCAUCAUGCCCUGGAGUGAGAGUUCCACAGAUGGCAUGUCCAACUUCGUGAUAUGCCACCAGACUCUUGCUCUUGCCAUCAGUCAUGACUGUUCCUUCCAUACCAGCCACUAUCCUAUCAAUUGAAUCAUCAAUCUCUUUGGAUGCGAUUGCUGUCUUACCACGUCGACCUGCAAGAAUGGCUGCUUCAUUUAAGAGGUUAGCAAGAUCUGCUCCACUGAAACCCGGUGUCCUCAUGGCAAUAACUUCAAGAGACACAUCUGAAUCAAACUUCUUGUUGCCGGCAUGAACCUUUAAGAUCUCUGUUCUUCCCUUGAUGUCUGGGACAUCCACGGAUACUUGUCUAUCAAAUCGUCCUGGCCUCAGCAAAGCAGAGUCAAGAAUAUCUGCACGAUUGGUUGCCGCAACAACUAUUAUACCAGUAUUUCCUUCGAAACCAUCCAUUUCAGUCAAUAGUUGGUUCAGGGUCUGUUCCCUUUCAUCAUUUCCUCCUCCAAUUCCAGUCCCUCUUUGCCGCCCAACAGCAUCAAUUUCAUCA